UACGAAGGGUGCAAACGUUGCUCGGAAUCAUUGGGCGUAAAGCGCACGUAGGCGGCCUCGUAAGUCGGAUGUGAAAUCCCACGGCUCAACCGUGGAAGUGCAUCCGAAACUGCGAGGCUCGAGUAUGGAAGAGGGUCGCAGAAUUCCCGGUGUAGAGGUGAAAUUCGUAGAUAUCGGGAGGAAUACCAGUGGCGAAGGCGGCGACCUGGGCCAAUACUGACGCUGAGGUGCGAAAGCGUGGGGAGCAAACAGG
rnacentral:rRNA from 1 species